rnacentral:tRNA from 1 species
UGCAAGUGGGGCCAGCCGGGAAGGCACGGCGUCGAGACGGUUCAUGUACCGCAACUCGGCAUCACCGAAUGAGCGGGUUCGAUUCCCGCCCUUGCAG